rnacentral:rRNA from 1 species
CGGACGGGUGAGUAAUGUAUGGGGAUCUGCCUGAUGGCGGGGGAUAACUACUGGAAACGGUAGCUAAUACCGCAUAAUGUCUACGGACCAAAGCGGGGGACCUCCGGGCCUCGCGCCAUCAGAUGAACCCAUAUGGGAUUAGCUAGUAGGUGAGGUAACGGCUUACCUAGGCGACGAUCCCUAGCUGGUCUGAGAGGAUGAUCAGCCACACUGGGACUGAGACACGGCCCAG